GAUCCGGCUCAGGAUGAACGCUAGCUACAGGCUUAACACAUGCAAGUCGAGGGGCAGCAUGGUCUUAGCUUGCUAAGGCUGAUGGCGACCGGCGCACGGGUGAGUAACACGUAUCCAACCUGCCGUCUACUCUUGGCCAGCCUUCUGAAAGGAAGAUUAAUCCAGGAUGGCAUCAUGAGUUCACAUGUCCGCAUGAUUAAAGGUAUUUUCCGGUAGACGAUGGGGA
rnacentral:rRNA from 1 species